CACRUGCAAGUCGAGGGGCAGCGGGAGAAAGCUUGCUUUUUUGCCGGCGACUGGCGCACGGGUGCGCAACGCGUAUGGAACCUACCCUUGUCCGGGGAAUAGCCCAGAGAAAUUUGGAUUAAUGCCCCAUAGUACCCCUUUGUUGCAUAAUUGGGGGGUUAAAGAUUUAUCGGACAGGGAUGGCCAUGCGUACCAUUAGUUAGUUGGCGGGGUAACGGCCCACCAAGGCAUCGAUGGUUAGGGGCCCUGAGAGGGGGAUCCCCCACACUGGUACUGAGACACGGACCAGACUCCUACGGGAGGCAGCAGUGAGGAAUAUUGGACAAUGGACGGAAGUCUGAUCCAGCCAUGCCGCGUGCGGGAAGAAGGCCCUACGGGUUGUAAACCGCUUUUAUACGGGAAGAAAAAGGGCUACGUGUAGCCUAUUGACGGUACCGUAAGAAUAAGGACCGGCUAACUCCGUGCCAGCAGCCGCGGUAAUACGGAGGGUCCGAGCGUUAUCCGGAAUCAUUGGGUUUAAAGGGUCCGUAGGCGGGCCGUUAAGUCAGGGGUGAAAGUYUGCGGCUCAACYGUAGAACUSCCCUUGAUACUGGCGGUCUUGAGUCAUAUUGGAGUGGGCGGAAUAUGUAGUGUAGCGGUGAAAUGCAUAGAUAUUACAUAGAACACCGAUCGCGAAGGCAGCUCACUAACUAUGUACUGACGCUGAUGGACGAAAGCRUGGGGAGCGAACGG
rnacentral:rRNA from 1 species